rnacentral:rRNA from 1 species
ACUCCAUCCAAGGCUAAAUACUUGCACGAGUCCGAUAGUAAACAAGUACCGUGAGGGAAAGUUGAAAAGUACUUUGAAGAGAGAGUAAACAGUGCGUGAAACCGCUCAGAGGUAAACGGGUGGAGUUGAACUGCGAUCCUUGGGAAUUCAGCUGAUGAGCAUGAUUUGUGCUUGGGCAUAUUGGCCGCCUUUCAGUGUCUGCUUAACUGCGGGUACUUAUCAUCCGGUAUGUGUGGUGCGCUUAUCAUGUGCCGCACGCAUUGGAAGGUGUAUGGGUCUGCUUGUCAGUGCACUUUCUCAGGGUGUUCACCACGACCGGCGCUGCUGUCUGUCUGCUGUGGUCAACUGAUCAGGUUUGACUAAGAUUGAGCCUGGUUGGGUUGGCAGGUGACUCACUGGUCCACUCUGUGGGCUAUGAGUGUUACUAGCCGACCAUAGUGGAUCUGUACGGUGUGUCGGAGAUGGCGGCUUGGCAUGUGCGCUCUGUCCUUCAGGCGUGGUUGAGUCUGGUCGGCUUGUUGCUAGUUUCGGCUGGCCAGUUGAUGGCUUGAUCAUGUUCAGUUGGCAGUAGUGUAUGUGUCCUAGUUUGGUCCAAUA